GUUCAAAUCUGUCAAAGGGUACGAAUUGUGAGAGUAAUGUGUAAACGUUAUAUUGAUUACUUUAUUUUGUGGUGCCUAAAAGUGUUAAUCUGUGAUCUACGAAAUGCUCUUAAUCUAUGAGCCGGAGAUCGAUUGCUCUGGUCUCCACCCAUAUUCCUGGGGAAAAAUCGCGGUCUUUUCUCAUUGAAUUUAAAGUUAAAUUGAGAACACAACACCGUAUCACUCUCGUGAUUGUUUCUCCCCUGUUUUCAGGGGCGUAACACCCCACCUGCCUCCCCAGUGCCAGCCCGGCCUGCCAACACCAGAUCACGGCGUGUGUCGAAGAGGAUCCAGCUCUUACAGAUCCGGUCUGCUAUGCUGGACCAGCAGCUACCAGAACAACUGGGUGACAAACAAAUCAUAUUACCCUCUGAGCACCUGUCCUUCAGUAGCACUGAGAGGAUGUUCCUCUGUGGUCCACCUUCAGUCUGCCACCCAGCUAACGUAGGCGAGAUGAUGGCUGUCACCCCCUGCCCAGACAUACGCCCAGCCACACAGGUCGCACCGACCCCUCCCCUUACCUGACCAGUAGGAGAGGCGGGCGAGAAGUGCCCCGUUGAAAUCCUCUUGACCGCCUUGUUCCCUAAGGAAGAACAGACUCCAAUCAAGCGGUGGCACAUGCCUGCCAUACCGUGCCAAGGCCGAGCGGGAAUGGGAGAAUAGCCAACGAGAGCGCAGGAAGAGAGUGAAGCCCAUUCACUGGGACGUUAACUUUAAGUCUGGGCCUUUCUUCCCACUGUGUCUCUCCAUCACUGCCCUCGAUCUUGGAGGUGGAUGAAGAGUCUCUUUCUGAAGAGAUGGAGUAAAGACAGUUGUAAGGGGUCGCAGCUUACAACUGACCUUUAUUUAAAUUGUGAAGUUAGUUAAGAACAAAUUCUUAUUUACAAUGACGACCUACCCCGGCCAAACCCUGACCCGGACGACACUGGGCCAAUUAAUUAAUAUUAAUCUACUUGUUAUUCUAGUUAGGCAAAUGUUAAUUUAUCAUCACCAUGUUCCAAUGAAUGCUGUUUUUAUAAAGUUUUAUUGCAGUUGAAAA